rnacentral:lncRNA from 1 species
GCUAUGAAUUUUCCUCUAAGCUCGGCAUUGGUUUCAUCGACCAGCCCUCCUGCUGCAACCUCUGUGUACAAGGCUUGGAGGUGACUGUCCUUCCUGCUGGAUUCUAGUCAUAAAGGAACUGAAGGCCAGAGGGAUUUGAGGGGCUUCUCCAGAUAAGACACCAGAAACCCCAACAUUUGAGCAACAGAUUGCAUUGUCCUGGAAGCAGUAUGCUGAAGCAUCACUAACUAUUGUUUCAAGUUGAGACACUCAGCGAUACUGAGCGAGUGCCUGAGCUCCUGGUCUUCAGACAAGUGCAUAGCUUUGCUACUCUGAAGAAAGCAGCUGCCCCAAGCCUUUUACACAGCAUGACAGUUCUGCUGGUACUGGACUGUGAAGGCUGGCCUGGGAAGGUGCUGCUUACACAACACCAGGAAACACACAUCUGUAAACCCUCAGCAUGCUCCACUGGGCAGAACGGAGGAGGCUGCUACCACAUAGCUGGACCAUAUUUUUUGUGGUAGUUCUACAAAUGAGGAUAAAAGCACUUAGAGGAACGAAGCAUAAAGAAGAAACGAAUGGAUACUUCUGUUAUUACUGCCAUCAAAUGGUUGAGUUCCUGCUCACAGGGAGCACUGGAAUUUGCUGGCUUUCCUUGGCUGCUGCUGAGCAUCCAGGCAAGUGUUGAAACAGGCCUCAUUCAAGUGAUGGCUGGGGAGAGGUGACCAGGCCCUUCUGCAUUGGGUCCCAGCAUUCAGUGAUAUCCUGAGGCUCUCCUGAGGGUCAUGUCUCACAUAAUGGAGUGUCACCAUGGUCAUUGGCAUGUUGGUGGGCACAUAACAACACCACUGUGGUUCUGCAGCCCCCGAGGCACAUUUAACAAGCCCCUUAAGAUGGUUGUGCCCCAAAUUAGAGUCACCAGUAGGGAGCCACACUUGAGGAACUGCUUUAAUUACUGUAAUUGAUGUGGGAAGACCCACCCUGAAAAUG